AUGGCUUCUCGGCCUUUUGGCUAAGAUCAAAUGUAGUAUGACAAUUCGUGAGUCAAUUCCUUGUCUUUCAUGACUUUGACUUAUGAAGAACAGUGGUCAGUUAUUUUGUGGACUGUCCCUAAUAUUUUUUUCUGAUUUAAUAAUAUUAUCAACAAGAAUCAUUUAC
rnacentral:snRNA from 1 species